rnacentral:lncRNA from 1 species
CAUGGAACAGAAUCAGAUUAUUUCCACUGAGUCCUUUUCAAUUUCUUAACCCACAGGAUUUAUGAGCAUUAUGAAGUCAUUAUGGCUUUCUGCCACUAGGCUGAGAGUGGACCACAUAUACAGAAAUAAAAAACUAUUAAUAGAAAAAUAUAUUGCAAACAUCUAAUCCUCAAACCCCAUUCAAGUUUUGCCAACUACCCUCCAUCCUAUCAAAUAUUCCUUAUACCAAAAAGAUCCAGUUCAAAAAUAAGUGUUGCAUUUAUUUUUUAACCUCUUUUGAUCUGGAAUAGCUCCUCACACCGUCUUUCAUGACUUUAGUGCUUUGGAAGACUACAGAUGUUUAGGCUCAUCUGAAAUUUCCCUGCCGUCACCUGGGAAUCAAC